AGCUUCCCUUUACAUUAUACAGGGUGUAUGAGAAGUGCUCAGUUUCAUAUGCUGUGUUACAUGAUACCCACAGUGACCUAAGGGAUAGUUUCAUGUCUCUUUACCAGAAAAAAGGAGGGUGUGCAGGAAGAUUCACAGAUGUGCUGAGAUGAGGUGCUUGGUUAUGAACUCCACUCUCUCCUUUGCCUAAAUCUUCAGCCAUGACUUCCUGUCUAGGGAGAAUCAUGUCAUUUCCAAGACCCGAGUGACAGAAUAAGAUUGCGACAUAGUAGCCAAUAGAUCAGUGCGAUUUCUUUAACUCAAAUAAAAUUUCAAAACCUAUUCCUUAGUCAGGGCUGCUGCAUUUUGGGAGCUCCAUGGCUACAGGUGACUAGUGACCACUCCACCAGACAGCAGAGGAGAUUUCUUCAUCACAAAGAGUUCUGCAGUAGCCUAUCAGUUUGGUUUGCUAUUGGCAGCUGCUCUUGUGUGGACGAGUUGCUAUGGAUGCUUUGAUCUCUGCGUCUGGGUAGUGUUUCAGUUUUGGACCCCAUGCAGGGUGCUUCAUCUUGUGCCAACUACCCUGUGUUCUGGGGACAUGGGCUCUAUGAAAGCACAAAAUGGGAGUCCUGGGCUUUCCAUGGCUUACGGCAGGGGUAAGAAGGUCAUGAGUAGAGCCAUGUGUUUCUUGUGUCUCUAACACUACAGUUUGGUGCUCUUCUGGCUCAGGCGGGAAGCCCAGCUGGGAUAGAAACUGCUUCCAUGUUCUAUGUGGUCCUCAGACCAACAAGCUGCAUUAGACUUCAAGGAAUGGACUGCGGGCUAGAUGGAAUCUGCUUAGAGCUUUGGAAGCUUGGGGGAAGCUAAGUAGUGAGGUGACUUCAGCAUGGAGUCUGCUAAAGAGAAGCCCAGGAGGUUGAUGACUCCCAAGCCCAUCUGCCCAGCCUUUCCCUGAUGGCUACCCCAGGACAAGGGGCCCAAAGAGAACCUCUCAUUAAUUUCCAACUGCAUUUUGCUCUGUUGUGUAGUAUUUUGGUGACAGAAUCCACUCAAGAGAGUUGGGGCAAGGCUGGCCAAGGUUAUCAAGGAGCUGAGUUCUGAGUUCAGGUGCCCACAUGGCAGUGGAAUGAUGCAUCCUGUCCCUUCAGAACUUUGAGACGUCUGGGAGGUCCUAGAAAUCACUUCAAGUCUCCAGUCCAGGACACAACUGCCUAGGGGAAUCCCAGGGAAAGGCGGCAGAGAUUGCGUGGCCUGCAAGGUGAAGGACUUCAAUGUGAUCACUGCAGAAUCCACCAAAUUCCAAACCACUGGCAGUUCGAGUGCACAACGCCCUUCUGGAGAGGAAGCAAGAGAAGCAAGCUGGGAGGAGGCCCAUUACUUGGCUGGAGAGCCAGUGGAUCACCUUCUCAGGUCUUCUGGAAGUUGCUGAAACAUGGUGAGGAAGGUGUCAUCACUCAGGAUGGAAUCCAGAAGCUCUUAGAAUGGAAUUAUGCCUGAAAUAGUUCAGACUGAAGUCCUGGGACCCAAGCUCUGAGUUCGACACCCCCCCCCAUCUCUGCCCUGUAUUUGUCUUUUCUUGGCUUAGGGAACUGUAAACAGGAACUGCUUUAAUGGGUAUAAUUUUGUCUCCAAAUUAGCUGUGUUUAUGAACAUGUUACUAGAAAUUUAAGAGAGUCCUACCUGAGUACAUGUCACCAAGGGGAUCCAGGGUCUGCUCAGGGAGCUCUUAAGUCCUGUGAAUAACAAAAUAGUAUAAGAACUGACUCAAAAGAAGUUCAGGGACAUUUAUUAUUAGCAUUAAACACACACACACACACACACACACACACACACACACACACACACAUACAUGCACAGGAGAAAGCAAGCUAUAAGACUGUAAAUCUCAACAGCUUCCCAGAGGUGAUAGAUGGAGGAGAGAAUUCAGCCAUGCAGCUUAAGCAUAGGCAACAUGAAGGUCAGCCAUAUGGCAAACAAACAGCCACAUGGGGGCAAACUUUAGAGAAAGAGUGAAGGCCAACUUGUUCAAGAAAGCUGCUCAGGAAAGAGAGAGAGAAAAGAAGAGUUACGCUUUCUGAGUAGUUCAGAAAGGCAGGCACUCUUUCAAAGUUGCCUAGCUACAGCUUCAUGAAGAUCUACAUGAGAAUGUGGGAUUCUGGAGAUGAAAAGCACAUUAUUUCAUUAAAGGGAUAAUUGUUCCUCUUAUUUCUAUGAGAGUUAAGGUGGUCUUGCCUUCCUGAGGAAUGGUCCUGUAGCCUGGCAAUUGCCCAGCUGGGAUGUUGGAUAUCCACCCAAGCCACAUUCUUGAUCUGAAGGAAAUAGUUUUUCCUUACUUGGCCUCUUCUACCACAGUAAUAAACAGAUUCUCUUCUUAGAGGUUCCCUGAACUGAGGUCUCAGGGUAGUCAGUAAAUGGGGCCACAUUGUUGGCUAGCAUGGUUCUUACCUUUAGGUUAAAAAUUCAUGUCCUUUCUGUCUUCUCAAGUUUGGUUUCAGAUGGUAUUAUACAGGAGCCACGUUGCUUAGCUACCAAAGACAUUAACUGUAGCACUAGCUACAGUUAAAACACAGUCAACCGUGUGAUACACUUGGGGCUCCUGUGAGUUGUUUGAUAUGAAUGUUGAACUACAAAGAAACAUACAUCUCACAGUUGGAGAGUUGGGUUCCCUCUGAUCCUGCAGCUAGAAUGGUAGACAAUGUUUUAAAUAUCAAAAGUGGCUUCCAUAUACUUUGAAUCUUUGGGGCAAGUUUGGAUAGUUUUGCAAUAUUGUUUUCUAAGGUCAAAUGGGAAUAGGAAAACAACACCCUUACCAACUGUAUUGCUCAGGCAUCUCUGGACCUGCCUACUUGGGAAGAGCCAAAGAAAGAGCAUGCUUGUGCAGUGGGGUUUGCAAGUGGGGACAUUUCUGUGUCUGUUCUGUAACUAUGUCUGCCUUACAAUAAAAUACCUUGGUUGACCCACAAUAAAGCCUCUGUUGAAUUCCUA